rnacentral:lncRNA from 10 species
CCCUGGGCCACAGACUGUUAACAGUCUGUUAGGUACCAGACCACACAGCAAGAGCUAGGCCCCUCUUCUGUAGGGUUGCUGCAGUUUGCUGGGGGUCUACUCCAGACCCUAUUCACCUGGAUCCCUCCUGCACCUGGAAGUGUCACCAGUGGAGGCUGUAGAACACCAAAGAUGGCUGCCUGAUCCUUCCUCUGGGAGCUCAAUCUCAGAGGGACACCAACCUGAUGCUGGUGGGAACGCUCCCGUAUAAGAUUCCUGACAACCCAUGUUGGGGGAUCUCACCCAGUCAGGAGGCUUGGGAUCCGAGGCCUGCUUAAAGAAGCAGUCUGGCUGCCCCUUGGUGGAGUGGGUGCACUGCACUGGAGGGACUCCUCUUUGUCCAAACUGCCCAGCCUCUUCAGAACCAGCAGGCAGGAAAGAUUAUGUCUACUGAGUUGUGGAGAUCACAGCUGCCCAUCCCCCUAAGGACUCCAUUCCAGGGAGAUCAGAGUUCUGUUUGUAAACCUCUGGCUGGAGUUGCUGAAAUUCCCACAGGGAGGCCCUGCCCAUUGACGGGGAAUGGAUCUGGGUCCCACCUAAAGCAGCAGUCUAGCCAUGAUCUGCCACAGCCACUGUGCUGUGCUGUGGGAAAUUCCUCCUGGUUCAAACUACCCAGUCUUCCCCGCACCAGCAGAGGAAAACGGCAGACUGGAGCUGCAGUGAUGGUGGCCGCCCCUCCCCCUAGGUACUCAGUUGUCUUAGGCAGUCUCUAGCCAGCUGCCACUAGCUGCAACCUGAGCAUCUGGACAGCUCUGUACUUGGGACCCAAGGCUCUGGUGGUUUGGGCUCAUGAGGGGAUUUCCUGAUCUGUGAGUUGCACAGAUCUGUGGAAAAAACAUGGUUUUCCAGGCAGGUAGCACAAUCAGUCACUGCCUCCCUUGGCUGGGGAUGGGAGCUCCUCUUGCCCCAUGGUGCUCCUGAGUGGUCCAUCGCUCCACCCUGCUUUUCCCGACUCUCCAUGGGUUGUGCCAACCACCUAGUCAGUCUCAAUGAGAGAACCUGGGUACCUCAGCUGAAGGUGCAGGAUUCACUCACCAUUUUCAUUCUUCUCAGUGGGAGCCACCAAUGGCAGCUGCUUCUAGUAGGCCAUCUUUCCACUUUGCUGGUAAUUUUUUUAACAACCAAGUGAAUAUGCCAAAUGGUAACUUGGAUCCACAGAAAAAGCAAAGAGAACCAGUAAAGGUAAAGAUAAUUAUAUAAUGGUAAGACUAUAAAUGCAUUUUUCCUUAACAUGAAUGAAUUAAACAGUUUAUUAAAAAG